rnacentral:rRNA from 1 species
UACGUAGGGCGCAAGCGUUAUCCGGAAUUAUUGGGCGUAAAGAGCUCGUAGGUGGUUCGGUAAGUCGGAUGUGAAAUCUCCAGGCUCAACCUGGAGGGGUCAUUCGAUACUGCCGUGACUAGAGUUCGGUAGGGGAGUGUGGAAUUCCUGGUGGAGCGGUGAAAUGCGCAGAUAUCAGGAGGAACACCCGUAGCGAAGGCGGCACUCUGGGCCGAUACUGACACUGAGGAGCGAAAGCGUGGGGAGCAAACAGG